rnacentral:rRNA from 1 species
AGUAAACGGCGGCCGUAACUAUAACGGUCCUAAGGUAGCGAAAUUCCUUGUCGGGUAAGUUCCGACCUGCACGAAUGGCGUAACGACUUCCCCACUGUCUCGACCAGGAGCUCGGCGAAAUUGCAGUACGAGUAAAGAUGCUCGUUAAGCGCAGAAGGACGAAAAGACCCCGGGACCUUUACUAUACCUUGGUAUUGGCGUUAGGCGCGGAUUGUGUAGCAUAGGCGGGAGGCUUCGAAGCAUGGGCGCCAGCCCGUGUGGAGCCGCAAGGUGAAAUACCGCUCUGUUCUCGUUUGACGUCUAACCUCGAACAGUCAUCCUGUUCAGGGACAGUGCCUGGCGGGUAGUUUAACUGGGGCGGUUGCCUCCCAAAGAGUAACGGAGGCGCUCAAAGGUCCGCUCAGCCCGGUUGGCAAUCGGGUUUCGAGUGUAAUCGCACAAGCGGGCUUGACUGCGAGAACGACGGUUCGGGCAGGGACGAAAGUCGGAGAUAGUGAUCCGGUGCCGGCGCACGGGCGCGGCAUCGCUCAACGGAUAAAAGGUACCCCGGGGAUAACAGGCUGAUCAUUCCCAAGAGUCCAUAUCGACGGGAUGGUUUGGCACCUCGAUGUCGGCUCGUCGCAUCCUGGGGCUGGAGCAGGUCCCAAGGGUUCGGCUGUUCGCCGAUUAAAGCGGCACGCGAGCUGGGUUCAGAACGUCGUGAGACAGUUUGGUCUCUAUCCUCUGCGCUCGUUGGAAUCCUGAGGAGGCCUGCCCAUAGUACGAGAGGACCUGGGUGGACGGACCUCUGGUAUGCCGGUUGUCGCGCCAGCGGCAUGGCCGGUUGGCUACGUUCGGGAGGGAUAACCGCUGAAAGCAUCUAAGCGGGAAGCCUGCUCCAAGAUUAGGAUUCCUUGACGCUCCCCGGAGCGCCUGUAGCCCGCAUGUUGAACACGUGUUCGAUAGGCCGGAGGUGGAAGCCCCGCGAGGGGUGGAGCCGACCGGUACUAACGGGCGAACGCGGCACACU